AUGGCAGCAAUGCUACAGUUAUGCGUCCAGGAAAUCUGCUUGGUGUACCACAUCGCAGCGGCCACAAAAUGGCCCAAGCGCCUCAAAGAGUUCCUGCAGGAGGAGAAAUUGUACACAUUUGUCGGUUUCAGCAUUGGAGGUGACAAGCGGAUGCUGAACAAGUCUGGUUUGGAGAUCAACCCCAACUACUUCAUCGACAUGCAGCGCAAGUCGAAAGUUCCAACCACCAACAAAUACUACGACUCCUUGGCCGAUAUUGCAGGCAGCGUCAUCCACCCAUUCUACAACAGCAUGAAGAAGAAGAUGGAGAAGAAGGAAGACCCCAAACUGUGGGGGAACAACCCGCUGCCAGUCAAGCUCAUCGAGUAUGCGGGAAUAGAUGCGUACGCCACGUACAAAUCAUGGAAGAUAAUCGACAACAUCGUGACAGGUUGGGAUAUUUCAAAAGAGCAGGAGGCUGACCCUUACUACCACUGCAACUUCGCGGGAUGA
rnacentral:rRNA from 1 species